rnacentral:hammerhead_ribozyme from 1 species
AUUCAGCUGACGAGUCUCAAAUAGGACGAAACGCGUUUCCUGGAU